GGGUUGUGAGGUUAAGCGACUAAGCGUACACGGUGGAUGCCCUGGCAGUCAGAGGCGAUGAAGGACGUGCUAAUCUGCGAUAAGCGUCGGUAAGGUGAUAUGAACCGUUAUAACCGGCGAUUUCCGAAUGGGGAAACCCAGUGUGUUUCGGCACACUAUCAUUAACUGAAUCCAUAGGUUAAUGAGGCGAACCGGGGGAACUGAAACAUCUAAGUACCCCGAGGAAAAGAAAUCAACCGAGAUUCCCCCAGUAGCGGCGAGCGAACGGGGAGGAGCCCAGAGCCUGAAUCAGUGUGUGUGUUAGUGGAAGCGUCUGGAAAGGCGCGCGAUACAGGGUGACAGCCCCGUACACAAAAAUGCACAUA
rnacentral:rRNA from 1 species